AGCGUGCGAGUAGGGAUCGCCAGUGGCCCCUUUUGGGGCUUGCUGGAGGAAAGUCCGAGCUCCGCAGGGCAGGGUGCCGGGUAACACCCGGGCGUCGCGAGGCGACGGAAAGUGCAGCAGAGAGGAGACCGCCGAUGGCGGCGCGCGUUCGCGCGGGUCGCACAGGCAAGGGUGAAAGGGUGUGGUAAGAGCGCACCGGGCCGCUGGUAACAGAGGUCGCAAGGCAAACCCCACUCGGAGCAAGGCCAAAUAGGGGACGAGGCGUGGCCCGCGCCACUUGAGUCCCGGGUAGGCUGCUUGAGGCCGGCAGUAAUGCCGUGUCCCAGAGAAAUGAUCCCUCCCCGCUGAAGCCGCUGCCGUGAGGCAAUGCAGAUGCGGCGGACAGAACUCGGCUUAUUCCGCGCGCUGCUC
rnacentral:RNase_P_RNA from 1 species